CGAACGCUGGCGGCGUGCUUAACACAUGCAAGUCGAACGGAAAGGCCCUGCUUGCAGGGUACUCGAGUGGCGAACGGGUGAGUAACACGUGGGUGAUCUGCCCUGCACUUCGGGAUAAGCUUGGGAAACUGGGUCUAAUACCGGAUAGGAGCCAUCUUUAGUGUGGUGGUUGGAAAGUUUUUUCGGUGUAGGAUGAGCUCGCGGCCUAUCAGCUUGUUGGUGGGGUAAUGGCCUACCAAGGCGGCGACGGGUAGCCGGCCUGAGAGGGUGUACGGCCACAUUGGGACUGAGAUACGGCCCAGACUCCUACGGGAGGCAGCAGUGGGGAAUAUUGCACAAUGGGCGCAAGCCUGAUGCAGCGACGCCGCGUGGGGGAUGAAGGCCUUCGGGUUGUAAACUCCUUUCGCUAGGGACGAAGCUUUUUUGUGACGGUACCUAGAUAAGAAGCACCGGCUAACUACGUG
rnacentral:rRNA from 1 species